rnacentral:rRNA from 1 species
CCUACGGGCGGCAGCAGUGAGGAAUAUUGGUCAAUGGACGAGAGUCUGAACCAGCCAAGUAGCGUGAAGGAUGACUGCCCUAUGGGUUGUAAACUUCUUUUAUAUGGGAAUAAAAUGUUCCACGUGUGGGAUUUUGUAUGUACCAUAUGAAUAAGGAUCGGCUAACUCCGUGCCAGCAGCCGCGGUAAUACGGAGGAUCCGAGCGUUAUCCGGAUUUAUUGGGUUUAAAGGGAGCGUAGGUGGAUUGUUAAGUCAGUUGUGAAAGUUUGCGGCUCAACCGUAAAAUUGCAGUUGAAACUGGCAGUCUUGAGUACAGUAGGGGUGGGCGGAAUUCGUGGUGUAGCGGUGAAAUGCUUAGAUAUCACGAAGAACUCCGAUUGCGAAGGCAGUUCACUGGACUGCAACUGACACUGAGGCUCGAAAGUGUGGGUAUCAAACAGGAUUAGAUACCCUAGUAGUC